AAUUGAGGGGAUUUGGGGGUAUUUAAUUCAAGUAUUAUUUUAUCACCACUUAUGCUAAUCCACAUAUAUUAUGAUAAGCGAUUGUAUUCGUUAGGUUCAUGUAGGGCAGGUUUUGGCGAAAUGGCGCCUUAUGAGUUGACUGCAAGUGUGUUUCCAAAAGGCUUGGAUCGAUAAGUGAAGAGAAAGCCCCGGAAUAGUGAUAAAUCAUGUGUCUCAAACAUGACUCAUGAUAAGAGAUGUUAAAUGGGCUCAGUGCCCAAGAUUCACAGGCAGUGUCACACUGACAUUAUCUCAGCUACUACUUUUUUUCUCUGAAUGUUUUGAAAUGCACUUGCAGUCACUGUGUAGUCUAAGGUAAUAUAGGAAUGUUUCAGUGAAGCAGGUAAUUCAGGUUGUCUACACUGAUUGUUCUAUGUGCGCCAAAUGAACCAUUAUACCCCUGAAUAACUAUACGUUCGUGUAGGAGGAAUGUAUAAAUUAUCCACUCAUGGGUAUCUGCACUGGUUUGGGUAGACUUGCACAAGUCUCUAAGGUAAUAAGUGGAAAAAUAGUUUAAAUGAUAAUUUCUAAAAAGUAUAAAAACAGACUGACGUCCUCAGAUUUAUUUCCUCUUUAAGGAUAGAGUUACUAUACAUCCAUGGGGUCAGCAUUCAGUACAGCCUUGGAGCAAGGCUAUGGUCUGGGCAACAGGUGGAUAUAAUCACUCACACUUCACCAAGAGUGGCGCCCCAAAAUAUCCGUCAAUGUAUAAUGGGACAUUAUUUCUUUUGGGCAAAUGUUUCUCGUACGCAGAGCUUCGAUUGUGUUACAAUACCAGACAGCAGGCACAAGAGAUUGAAGAAUGUUUGGGUACGAUAACCAUGUGUUACCACGCGUGUAACACGUGUUCUAUAAUAAAGCCACUGGUGAAGAUAUUUAGUGAUCAUUCUGACACUCGAUGCGAUAUUCCGAACAGCUGCUCUCGAUGCGAGAUACCGUUAUUUAUAAACUGCAUAUCACAAGUGCAAAAGGUCACCUUGAACCAGCACAUGGUUUUAGAAAGACCGACUAUGGGAUCCAAGCUCACAUAAUAUAUAAAUUGUGGAAACAUUAUCUCCUACCAGUGUAGAUACCAGUGAACAUUGAUUGAUAGGAGAUAUCAUUUAGCCUAACCCAGCCAAACUAUAACCAGUGUAUAUCGAUGUAUUUCACUUAUGACCAUGUAGACUGUUACCGUAUUAUCGGCAAUAGGCGAACAUUGUGAUGAACUGUAAUAUAUAGAAGACACUGGUAAUGAUACUUUAGACAGAAGUUUAAGAUUUUGUAACUUUCAAUGAUCCAACUAACCUUAUUUUUGUCAUGUUAUAUCUAUCAAUAUGUUGGCAUGUAUUUUCAUAUUCAUCCUAACUGUCUUGUGCAAUGAGAAAACCAUAUUGUGCUUUGAUUUGUGUUCAUAUGUGAUCAUCAUUGUUGUUGGUCACUUGUUCUGUGUAUGCCGCCAUUCUUGUGCAAUUUCCUUUUGGAACAGAUAGUUCGGGUUGAGAGAUGAUUGCGAUUCGCUGACAGGGAUCGCACGCAUCGAUCGCUCAGGGGAGACAACCCACCCGGUGGGUUUACCGGCAAUCCUGAGACACCUGGAGUCGAGAACUAUAGUAUUCCUUUCUCACAUGGAUAUACGUAGACAAGCGGAUCUGUCCUGGGUUCCGGUAUAAGGUGCGGUAUAACGGGAGAGACGAGGAGCUAUUUGACGGGGAGGCACGCACUCUGCUCAGCGUCGGGAUGGGCUAUGGCAAGCGGCUGACCUUUGAAGGAGAGA